rnacentral:misc_RNA from 1 species
GAUGAAGAACGUAGCGAAAUGCGAUACUUGGUGUGAAUUGCAGAAUCCCGUGAACCAUCGAGUCUUUGAACGCAAGUUGCGCCCGAAGCCACUAGGCCGAGGGCACGCCUGCCUGGGCGUCACACGCCGUUGCCCCCCCAUCUACUCCUUCGGGAUUGCGGGGGGCGGAUGAUGGCCUCCCGUGCGCCUCGUCGCGCGGUUGGCCUAAAUGCCAAGUCCUCGGCGACGCACGCCACGACAAUCGGUGGUUGCGAAACCUCGGUUGCCCGUCGUGUGCGGUCGUUGCGCAUCGAGGGCUCGAAAAAAUUGCCGGGCUUCGGCUCGACUUUCAACGCGACCCCAGGUCAGGCGGGGUUACCCGCUGAAUUUAAGCAUAUCAAUAAGCGGAGGA